CCUACGGGAGGCAGCAGUAGGGAAUAUUGCUCAAUGGGGGAAACCCUGAAGCAGCAACGCCGCGUGGAGGAUGAAGGUUUUCGGAUUGUAAACUCCUUUUGUUAGAGAAGAUAAUGACGGUAUCUAACGAAUAAGCACCGGCUAACUCCGUGCCAGCAGCCGCGGUAAUACGGAGGGUGCAAGCGUUACUCGGAAUCACUGGGCGUAAAGAGCGCGUAGGCGGGAUAGCAAGUCAGAUGUGAAAUCCUAUGGCUUAACCAUAGAACUGCAUUUGAAACUGUUAUUCUAGAGAAUGGGAGAGGUAGGUGGAAUUCUUGGUGUAGGGGUAAAAUCCGUAGAGAUCAAGAGGAAUACUCAUUGCGAAGGCGACCUGCUAGAACAUAACUGUCGCUGAUGCGCGAAAGCGUGGGGAGCAAACAGGAUUAGAUACCCUAGUAGUC
rnacentral:rRNA from 1 species